rnacentral:rRNA from 11 species
CACGUGAGCUGGGUUCAGAACGUCGCGAGACAGUUUGGUCCCUAUCUGCCGUGGGUGUUGGAAACUUGAGAGGAUCUGUCCUUAGUACGAGAGGACCGGGAUGGACAUACCUCUGGUGGACCUGUUGUGGCGCCAGCCGCAUUGCAGGGUAGCUAUGUAUGGACGGGAUAACCGCUGAAUGCAUCUAAGCGGGAAACCCACCUCAAAACCAGGUUUCCCUUGAGAGCCGUUCUAGACUAGGACGUCGAUAGGCCAGGUGUGGAAGCGCUGCGAAGCGUGGAGCUUACUGGUACUAAUU